AUAGGGCAGAACUUCUGACUACAAUGGGGGAGGUCCUAAAGAGUUGAGAGGGAAGGUGGGAGAGGAAGAGAGAGAGAGGGAGAGAGAGAGGGAGAGAGAGAGAGGGAGAGAGAGAAAGAACUGUGGAGAUGUCGCAAGGAUGGCAGGGCCACCUCUAUAUAAACACUGGGGGCCGCUUAGCCACAAAAGCAUCUCCUGCAGGAGGAUCUAAUUGAGGACUUGCCUGAAAAACCAAGGAUUGCCGUCACAGACAAUGCCAGCCAAUCGGGAACUGCUGUUUAGAAGAGAUGCUUUCCUGGGCGCUGAUGGAGAGUAGUAAAGGAGCUUGCAGCGGUGCUCAGAUGAGUUUGCUACUGCCCUGUUUCUCACAGACUCCCAGAGUCUGUGUCAUUGACUCUGUGCCAUAUCACCUCCAACCUCUCAUCUCACCCGAGGGCAGGUAGGGCCAAGUGGUGAGUAAUCCAGGGUGCAGGCGACAUGGAGAGACCAUGUGGGUGGACCAGGAAGAUUGGCCAUGAGGUCACCACCAUGAGAGAAUAGCCAUGACAGGCACACAUGGACUAGAGACCAGAUGUCCAGUAAUGGGGCAUUUUGCUGGUUAGUAGCAUCUUAGUCUGGUUAAACACCCUUGUCCGUUGGGGUCAAAGGAUGCCUAAGAAAACCCCCAAGAAUUACAUUUACACCCCACCCUGGCCAGGUCCUAGAUGAUAUAAAAAACCAGACUGAGCAAGCAAUGAGAAGCAAGCCAGUAAACUGCACUCCUCCAUGGCCUCUGCAUCAGCUCCUGCUUCCAAGGUUCCUGUCCUGUUUGAGUUCCUGUCCUGUCUUCCCACCGUGGUGGACUAUUAUUACUGAUUCUACCUCUGCAUCCUUGGCCUGCUCCCUGCCCCCGCUCCACCUUUAAGCUAUCAUCACCUGUUGGGAUGUUGUGGUUUAGAGGGCACGCCAGCCUGUCCUAGCCCUGCUCUACUCUGACUCCUGCUCAGUAGGAAGUGAAGAGUCUCCCUGACAUCCUUCUCCUGCUCCCUGCUACAACACACUCUGAAAGCUCUGAGCUGUGAGCAAAAUCUCCCCUUCUGACAGACUGACUGGUCUAAGAAAAG
rnacentral:lncRNA from 1 species